AGCAGCCGCGGUAAUUCCAGCUCCAAUAGCGUAUAUUAAAGUUGUUGCAGUUAAAAAGCUCGUAGUUGAAUUUCGGGAUCAAUACGUCGGUCGUGCUUCGGUACGUACUAACGUCAUUGAUUUCUCCCUUCUGACGAAUCAUGAUGUCAUUAAUUUGGUGUUACGGGGAGUUAGGACUGUUACUUUGAAAAAUUAGAGUGUUUAAAGCAAGCAAUCGCUCGAAUACAUUAGCAUGGAAUAAU
rnacentral:rRNA from 1 species